rnacentral:rRNA from 1 species
AUUGAACGCUGGCGGCAGGCCUAACACAUGCAAGUCGCACGAGUGGCGGACGGGUGAGUAAUGUCUGGGAAACUGCCUGAUGGAGGGGGAUAACUACUGGAAACGGUAGCUAAUACCGCAUACCAUCAGAUGUGCCCAGAUGGGAUUAGCUAGUUGGUUGGGUAACGGCUCAACAAGGCGACGAUCCCUAGCUGGUCUGAGAGGAUGACCAGCCACACUGGAACUGAGAAACGGUCCAGACUCAUACGGGAGGAAGCAGUGGGGAAUAUUGCACAAUGGGAGCAAGCCUGAUGAAGCCAUGCCGCGUGGAUGAAGAAGGCCGUAGGGUUGUAAAGUACUUUCAGUGGGGAGGCGUUACCCGCAGAAGAAGCACCGGCUAACUCCGUGCCAGCAGCCGCGGUAAUAC